rnacentral:rRNA from 1 species
UACGAAGGGGGCUAGCGUUGCUCGGAAUCACUGGGCGUAAAGGGUGCGUAGGCGGGUUUUUAAGUCAGAGGUGAAAUCCUGGAGCUCAACUCCAGAACUGCCUUUGAUACUGAAAGUCUUGAGUAUGGGAGAGGUGAGUGGAACUGCGAGUGUAGAGGUGAAAUUCGUAGAUAUUCGCAAGAACACCGGUGGCGAAGGCGGCCAACUGGCGCUGACCUGACGCUGAGGCGCGAAGGCAUGGGGAGCGAACGGGG